GAGGAUAGUGGAAUUCCCGGUGUAGCAGUGAAAUGCGUAGAUAUCGGGAGGAACACCAGUGGCGAAGGCGACUAUCUGGAUCAAUACUGACGCUGAGGAGCGAAAGCGUGGGGAGCAAACAGGAUUAGAGACCCUGGUAGUCCACGCCCUAAACGAUGAGAACUAGGCGUUGGGAAGCUCAGCUUCUUAGUGCCGCAGCUAACGCAUUAAGUUCUCCGCCUGGGGAGUACGGCCGCAAGGCUAAAACUCAAAGGAAUUGACGGGGGCUCGCACAAGCGGUGGAGCAUGUGGUUUAAUUCGAUGCAACGCGAAGAACCUUACCUACCCUUGACAUGUCAGGAAUCCUGCAGAGAUGCGGGAGUGCCUUCGGGAACCUGAACACAGGUGCUGCAUGGCUGUCGUCAGCUCGUGUCAUGAGAUGUUGGGUUAAGUCCCGUAACGAGCGCAACCCUUGUCCUUAGUUGCUACCAGUUCGGCUGGGCACUCUAAGGAGACUGCCGGUGAUAAACCGGAGGAAGGUGGGGACGACGUCAAGUCAUCAUGGCCCUUACGGGUAGGGCUACACACGUGCUACAAUGGGCUGUACAGAGGGUUGCCAAGCCGCGAGGCGGAGCUAAUCCCACAAAGCAGCUCGUAGUCCGGAUUGGAGUCUGCAACUCGACUCCAUGAAGUCGGAAUCGCUAGUAAUCGCGAAUCAGAACGUCGCGGUGAAUACGUUCUCGAGCCUUGUACACACCGCCCGUCAUACCAUGGGAGUGUAUUGUACCAGAAGCGGGUAGACUAACCUUCGGGAGGUCGCCCAC
rnacentral:rRNA from 1 species